AGAGUUUGAUUCUGGCUCAGGACGAACGCUGGCGGCGUGCUUAAGACAUGCAAGUCGAACGAAUGUAGAAAUACAUUAGUGGCGGACUGGUGAGUAACGUGUGAGCAAUCUGCCUCUAACUGGGGGAUAACACUUAGAAAUAGGUGCUAAUACCGCAUAAGACCACAUGAAGGCAUCUUCGAGGGGUCAAAGAUUUAUCGGUUAGAGAUGAGCUCGCAUCCCAUUAGCUAGUUGGUGAGGUAACGGCCCACCAAGGCGACGAUGGGUAGCCGACCUGAGAGGGUGAUCGGCCACACUGGGACUGAGAUACGGCCCAGACUCCUACGGGAGGCAGCAGUCGGGAAUAUUGGGCAAUGGAGGCAACUCUGACCCAGCAACGCCGCGUGAAGGAAUAGAAGGUCUUCGGAUUGUAAACUUCUGUCGCGAGGGACGAAGAAUGACGGUACCUCGUAAGAAAGCCCCGGCUAACUACGUGCCAGCAGCCGCGGUAAUACGUAGGGGGCAAGCGUUGUCCGGAAUGACUGGGCGUAAAGGGAGUGUAGGUGGCAUAAUAAGUUAUAUGUGAAAGCCCGCGGCUUAACUGCGGAACUGCAUAUAAAACUGUUAAGCUUGAGUGCAGGAGAGGUAAGCGGAAUUCCUAGUGUAGCGGUGGAAUGCGUAGAUAUUAGGAAGAACACCAGAGGCGAAGGCGGCUUACUGGACUGUAACUGACACUGAGGCUCGAAAGCGUGGGGAGCAAACAGGAUUAGAUACCCUGGUAGUCCACGCCCUAAACGAUGGAUAC
rnacentral:rRNA from 1 species